rnacentral:rRNA from 1 species
UGGGGAAUAUUGCACAAUGGGCGCAAGCCUGAUGCAGCCAUGCCGCGUGUGUGAAGAAGGCCUUCGGGUUGUAAAGCACUUUCAGCGAGGAGGAAGGUGGUGGACUUAAUACGUUCAUCAAUUGACGUUACUCGCAGAAGAAGCACCGGCUAACUCCGUGCCAGCAGCCGCGGUAAUACGGAGGGUGCAAGCGUUAAUCGGAAUUACUGGGCGUAAAGCGCACGCAGGCGGUUUGUUAAGUCAGAUGUGAAAUCCCCCGGGCUCAACCUGGGAACUGCAUUUGAAACUGGCAAGCUAGAGUCUCGUAGAGGGGGGUAGAAUUCCAGGUGUAGCGGUGAAAUGCGUAGAGAUCUGGAGGAAUACCGGUGGCGAAGGCGGCCCCCCUGGACGAAGACUGACGCUCAGGUGCGAAAAGCGUGGGGAGCAAAACAGGAUUAGAUACCCUGGUAGUCCACGCUGUAAACGAUGUCGAUUUGGAGGUUGUGCCCCUUGAGGCGUGGCUUCCGGAGCUAACGCGUUAAAUCGACCGCCUGGGGAGUACGGCCGCAAGGUUAAAACUC